rnacentral:rRNA from 1 species
UACGUAGGGUGCGAGCGUUGUCCGGAAUUAUUGGGCGUAAAGGGCUCGUAGGCGGUUUGUCGCGUCGGGAGUGAAAACUCAGGGCUUAACCCUGAGCCUGCUUCCGAUACGGGCAGACUAGAGGUAUGCAGGGGAGAACGGAAUUCCUGGUGUAGCGGUGAAAUGCGCAGAUAUCAGGAGGAACACCGGUGGCGAAGGCGGUCCUCUGG